GACGAACGCUGGCGGCGUGCUUAACACAUGCAAGUCGAGCGGUAAGGCCCUUUCGGGGGUACACAAGCGGCGAACGGGUGAGUAACACGUGGGUGACCUGCCCUCAGCUCUGGGAUAAGCCUGGGAAACUGGGUCUAAUACCGGAUAUGACUCCAUGACGCAUGUUGUGGGGUGGAAAGCCUUGUGCGGCUGAGGAUGGGCCCGCGGCCUAUCAGCUUGUUGGUGGGGUGAGGCCUACCAAGGCGACGACGGGUAGCCGGCCUGAGAGGGCGACCGGCCACACUGGGACUGAGACACGGCCCAGACUCCUACGGGAGGCAGCAGUGGGGAAUCUUGCGCAAUGGGCGAAAGCCUGACGCAGCGACGCCGCGUGAGGGAUGAC
rnacentral:rRNA from 1 species